GAGCUCGGAUUUGGUAGCCCGUGCAGGUUCGGUCCGUGCGGGUUUUAAACUCCGAGCCAGAGCAGCCUCCCUCGUGCAGAAGGGACGCGGCCCCCAGUGCCACGCUCCCUUUCGAACGGGGGGCACACGU